UACGGGGGGGGCAAGCGUUGUUCGGAAUUACUGGGCGUAAAGGGCUCGUAGGUGGCCAACUAAGUCAGACGUGAAAUCCCUCGGCUUAACCGGGGAACUGCGUCUGAUACUGGAUGGCUUGAGUUCGGGAGAGGGAUGCGGAAUUCCAGGUGUAGCGGUGAAAUGCGUAGAUAUCUGGAAGAACACCAAUGGCGAAGGCAGCUCUCUGGGACGGUACUGACACUGAGACGCGAAAGCGUGGGGAGCGAACAGG
rnacentral:rRNA from 1 species